GCCUGGGUGGCUCAGUGGGUUAAGCGGCUGACUUGGGCUCAGGUCAUGAUCUCACAGUUUGUGAGUUCGAGCCCCGCAUCAGGCU
rnacentral:tRNA from 1 species